CGGUGAAUACGUUCCCGGGCCUUGUACACACCGCCCGUCAAGCCAUGGAAGCUGGGGGUACCUGAAGUACGUAACCGCAAGGAGCGUCCUAGGGUAAAACUGGUAACUGGGGCUAAGUCGUAACAAGGUACCC
rnacentral:rRNA from 1 species